CUGUGGCAGUUGGAUUGAUAAUCUGCACCCAAGGAGUUCCAUGCAAACUCCCGUGACCUGAGCUAAAUUCCUCAGCACUUCCACCUCCCUGGUGAACUGCAGUGAAUUCCCUGCCAAAGCCCUCACCACUGCACACUCCUGGUGCCAGCAGUAUCCUGGGAGGACCAGUGUAUGCAAAAUGCUGUGUUACUGCUAUCAUCUAGCAGGGUUUGUCAGGAAUGACACACAAAUACGAAAAAUGAACAGAUCCAAAUUCAAUCAAGAGAGCCAGCAGCAUUCAGUACCCACCUGGUGAAGCCCUUGCAAAGCAAAAGAGGUCUGAGCUGGACAUCACGAGGAGGAAAAAGUGUCUUUUGAAGCUUCGUGAAUGGUGAAGGAUGAAAUCACUAUGCAAAGUAUAAGCCUGGAAGGAACCUUGAGAAGCUGUUGGGAUUAGUAACCCCCAUGACGCAGGGGAAGCGUGGAUGCCUAUACAGAUCACAGAGUAACUUGAUUGUUACAGAAAGCCAAACACUCACCUGACACAAAGUCACAAAACUGGAGAUAGCCAUUUGCUAUGAUGAUAAC